rnacentral:rRNA from 1 species
UACAGAGGUCCCGAGCGUUGUUCGGAUUUACUGGGCGUAAAGGGUGCGCAGGUGGGUUGGCAAGUUUGAUGUGAAAGCCCCGGGCUUAACCCGGGAAUGGCAUUGAAUACUGCUGAUCUGGAGGAUCGGAGGGGGGACUGGAAUUCUUGGUGUAGCAGUGAAAUGCGUAGAUAUCAAGAGGAACACCAGUGGCGAAGGCGAGUCCCUGGACGAUACCUGACACUGAGGCACGAAAGCCGGGGGAGCAAACAGG